ACUUUCCAAACACGUGGACCUAAGUUUGGUCAGGCUCUGUUGAUUUUCCUGAUCUGUGCUUCAGACCAUAGACCACCAUUGAGACCACCUCAGUCCAUGCUGGGCCUGAUCCUGUCUGUCUGAAAAAGGGUCUUUUUGUUGGGCCAACGUGGAACCCCCCAUGAAGUCUUUGGUCGGCUUCACUGUACGAACUCUUGCUUACCCCCUUGGAUGUACCAGGAGCUUGUCGUUCUCUGCUGCUCUGUAGCAUUCAGAUAAAUACUUCUGGAGAGCAGGUGCCAGUGUGUGAGCUGCUCAAGGAGGGACAGAUCUGUUUAAACCAUGUAUAUGUUUAUGUAAAUCAUUUGGUAACCUUGGUACCGUGAUUUCCCCUGACCAAUCAGACAGUCUGAAGCAGCUAAAGCAACACAGGAGCUCCUGUAAACCAGCUACAUGGUGAUUUUCUGUUAUUUUACUGGAACCCCUGCUCUGCUGCAAGCUGUUGAUUGUCGGACUGAUUGCCUUCAGCUGGUGAGUGCUAAAGUGACUUGCUUCCAUUUUGAAAGUGUUUCAGAGCCCCGAGAAGGAGAAGUGAACACUUUAAGUGCUCGACAGGGAAACUGCCAACAUGUGAUUCAGUGUCUCGGCUGGAAAUGUGCUGGAAAAUAACUGCAUUUACUUAAGUACUGUACUUAAGUACAAUUUUGAGUUGCCCCCAAGGUAUUUUCCCGAAUAUAACUUCCCUCCUGGGGAUCGCUGCCAGACUUUAAAAGACAUCUCGCAGCGUGGAGAGACGACUCGUCCAGACUACUUGAUUUUACUGUCACUUUGACAUGAGCUGACAGAUUCAUUGGAUUACAAUGAACUCAUCUUCAACUCCAAGUCGCCUGCACUUCCUGAUGUAAGCUGGCAGCGUCCCCCCAACACGGCGGCCUAAGAUGAAAUGCUACUUUAAUGGCCGCUGGGGCCGCUGAACGACAAAAACAACGGUCUAGGAUGCCAAGAUGAUCACAGAAAAACAAACAAAAAAAAAGAAAUGUAGGCCCAUCCAUGAUCCAUACUGACGUCUCCAGAUCCAAACCUGUUUUCUUCUCCUCAUUUAUUAGCUGAGGGAAAGAAACCCUAAAUGACAGUUUCCACUCUGCUCUGUGUGAUGAUUCUUCUUCUUUGAGUAAGGAGCAGUGGAACAAGUUCAAUGUGAAAGUCAUCACACUACAGUCUGUUUUGUUCUGUCUGAGCUGAAACUGAUUAUUAAUCUGAUUUCUGAACUGAAGUUAAUUGUAUUAUCCGACACUGACUGUCCACAGCUGCGUGAGCUGAGCUGCACUUCUUGAAUAUACAUAAUUGUCAUAGAAGAAUUCACAUCGAUUUUCGUAAUUAUGUAAACUUUGUGU